UGUAGGAACAGGAACUGGUAGCCCAUAGACGUGCGACCUUCAGUCAUGAGCAUACAACGAAACAACAGCAAAAUAACAGCCGAUGUUAACUUGAAUACCAUGCAACUCAAAUAUCAAAACUAUGGCAAGAGUAAAUCAUCCAGCAGGCUACGUUACUGCAUGGCGAGAGUAAUUUACAGAAGUUGGUUUAGAAACGAUGUUUAUACAUGAAGAAGGAUUAUACAUAAAGUGUGUAGACUUUGAUACAGGCUGGUUUUUAAGGCAGUUUGAUAAAAUGGCAGGAUCGUCUUUGUCUGGCUGGAAUUUGAUGCGUCGUAAUGCAAGUGACUUUCCUGUUGAAAUUUUCAAAGUCAGAGUUUUCAAACCACUCAAAACGGUAUAGAUUAAUGCAAGAGAAAGAUUACAAGGUACUUGGGGAAUCUAAGUGAUGAUUUCAAAAACGAUGCGAAGGAUUGCGAAGUCUUUCCAGGAGAUGAAGCUGUUCUAUCAAUGCCAGGUAUUCU